AAGUCGUAACAAGGUUUCCGUAGGUGAACCUGCGGAGGAUCAUUAAUGAGUUAGGGUCUCCGGGCCCGACCUCCAACCCUUUGUUGUCACAAAACCAAUUUGUUGCUUUGGCGUGGACCGCCCGCGAGGGCUGCCGGUCUUAGGCCCCGGCAUUGCGCCCGCCAGAGGAAAACCAACUCUGUUCAUCAAACCGUUACGUCUGACUAAAAAUGAUUAAGUCAAUCAAAA
rnacentral:misc_RNA from 1 species